ACUAGGUCAUUCAAAUUUCCCAAGCUGGCUGUGAAGGGAGAGUCUUCCUCCUACGUGUGGAGACCCUGCAGUUCAGAAGGCCAAUCCCAUUGCCCCGUGCAGUACCCAUUAUGUAUUCAGUGAAGAUAUAGGGGUGACCAAGGCAGAUGGAGCUCCAUCUUCAGGGGACCCUGCACCCAGUAAGAAGACUGUGACAGGGCUACUGGUGUACACAGGCAAGGCGCCCACCCCAAUGCAGAGGGCCCUGGAAGGCUCUCUUGAGGAAGGAAUAUCUAGAUUGAAAGCUAAAAGCGCUGUCUUGGCGGUGAGGCGGCGGGGGACACGGACAUAGAUACUGCAGAGUGGAAAGUUGGAGAUCCACGCCGCGUAGGGAAACAGAGCAGGCUCCUACUAAGCCUGCGGCUCCCAGAGCAAUCCGAGACAAGCUGACAGCAACGUGAGCUGGUGCCUCCUUCAGUUUGCAGCAAGGGGUGAGGAAGGGGUGUGCAACAGAGGAGAUGGCCUGCAGACGGUAGGCCGGGGGUGGAAGGGGUACACCACCCCCACUCCCACCCCCAGUGCUGGCGAAGGCAACUGCUACCGGCCACAACUAGCAGGGACUCGAACUGAAAAUGUUUGAAGCAGCAGCGGCCCAUCACAACUGUCUCGAUUCUGUAGACAAAGCCUUGGCUGCCCGGCAAGAUCAGACGCAGGAUCUGCUGGGCCCGCCAGCUAGUUGUCUGAGCUGCUUGGGAGGUUAAGCAUCAGUAAACUGAGGCAGAGACAGACAAGUCAUUAGAAAGCAAAGAGAUGGAGCCUCUUGAAAGCCACAUUAGGCAAGAGUGUCAGGCUCAGUCCUCCAGAACUUCCUGACAGGGAAGGUCCCUAAAUUUCAGAGGGAAUUAUGCGGCCAACAAAGCCAAGAACCGGUGGCCUCGCCCCAAAGCCAGGCCCAUGUGGGCCAGCUGCAGAAAGUGUGCAGAGCCCUCCUCAGAGGUGGUCAUGGAGGAAACAGGACGUGAGUACAGUCCUCCCAGAGAGUGGAGUCCAGGCCCCACAACACCUGCCUCUCAGGAUCCCGUUGUCGCUGGCCCAGUGCAGCCACCUGGGACCCAUGCUCCUGCUCUCCCUUCUUCUGAUGAGAGUUUCACCAACUUUGAUCCUGUGCCCGUCCCACCAUUUCAUUCUGGCUUGGAGUGGGCAGUCAUUUGGAUUUUCCUUCUAGCUCCCUGGCUGCUGCUGGUGGGGAACAUGCUGCAUCUCUAAGAGACAGAGGACCUCAAACAGGAAUGGGCUCUCCCGUGCCCUCUGGGCUGCUCUUCACACAGUAGCCAGAAAGAUCUUCCUAAAACCUCAGACCAUGGCUUUGUCCUGCUCCAAACGCUCCAGUGCCCUCCCACUGCAUGAAGGGUCCAAGCCGAGGGACCUGAAGUAGUCCCUGCUCGCCCAUGUCCCUCAGGUAUCACAGCCAUAUUCUAGGCAAGAGGAAAGGUGGGUGCUGCCUGUCUUGACAUCUCCAUCUAACGUUGCCUCCCUGGGCACUCUUUACCUCGCUGCCCCAUCUUAUUCUGGUCCUUUAUCACUCCUUGGAGUUUUCUUGCUUGUUGACCAACUCUUGUCACUGAAAUAAAAGCCCCCAAAGCAGGACUACACUUGUGCUCACUGCUAAACCCCGGCUGCGGCACAGUGACUGGAACAUAUUUGUUGAAUGAAUGAACAGUGAAGUCCCCUAGUUGGCUUGGUGCUGGAGUCGGGACUCAAACCCAGAUCUCCCACCUCCUGGGCCUGGACAUUUCACAGAGUGUCCCCAAGCCCCUCUCUGUGUGAGGAGCUACCCAGUCCAUUUGCAGGUUCCGGGAGUAUGAACAAGGAGCCUGUGUUUUCAGGCCUGGAUGGAGAGACAGAGAAAAAAAUCCCCCAUGCCCCCCACUGGGAUUUGGGGAGUCCUCCUUACUCAGAGUGUGAGGCAAUCUUUCUUCAGAGGCCGCUGGCGGGCAAGAUGAUCCUGGGCGGUGCAGAGCCCAGAGUAAAUGGCAACCCCUCACCUCGAGGGCAAGUGCUUUCUUUUUCCUGGGAGCUUUAGGGGAGUGACAUCUUACCAGAAUUUAAUAACCUUUUUUGGGGUUUCUUUUCAUUGUAUUUAUUUUUGCAGGAUCCUACAUGCAAUACAGGGAUUCGAUUCAGAUAGUCAUACAGAGUUUCUCCUUUAAAUAAAUAUAUUUCAGAGUUCAAAGAGUGAACCCAUUCAAAGAGCAAUAUUAAGAGUGGCCUAAAGAUCUGGUACAAAUGCCAAUCAUCACGUCUACAUAAUUCCAAAACAUUUUCUUCAUCCCCAAAAGAAACCUGGCACAUUAGCAGUCUGAUUCAUCUGCCUCCCCCAACACUCCUCUCCUGCCUCCCGCAACUACAAAUCUACUUUAUGUCUCUGUAGAUUUGUCGAUGUGGGCAUUUCACAUACAUGGAAUCAUACAGUGUAGCGUCUUUCACUCAGCGUAUUGUCAACGUUAUCCAUGUCGUAGCACGUGUCAGUACUUCAUUUUUUAUGGCCAAGUAAUGUUCCAUUGUGUGGAUGGACCCUGUUUUGUUUAUCUGCUCAUCCAUGGACGGACAUUUGGGUUUUUCCAUCUUUUGGUGAUUGUGUAUUAUUGCUGCUGAGAGCAUGGGGGUUCAAGCAUCUGUUUACAUACGACAUUUGAUGGUCACGUUUGUGCUUCCUGCAGAGGCCUAUGGCCAGGCACUUUUUUUUUUUAAGAUUUUAUUUAUUUAUUCAUGAGAGACAGAGAGAGAGAGAGAGGCAGAGAGAG